CCUCCAAAAGUAAUAAUCUUAGAAAUUGGAGCUCGGCCUUCUCCCUAUGUAUAUGGCCGAAACGAGAGCUCUGAAGGCGUUGGUUUAUGGCGAAGGAGACCCACAUCGCCCGGUUCCAAACCAUCAAGAACGCCUGCGAUCGCCUCCGUUGUUGCAGCCAAAACGAGAGCUCUGAAGACGUCCGUUCAUGGCGAAGGCGAACCACAUCACCCAGUUCCAAACCAUCAAGAACGCCUGCGAUCGCCUCCGUUGUUGCAGCUCUGGUGUUCGGCGUCGUCGGAGCAAGGAAAGAUGACAAAGAAGAAGAAGAAGUUGAGGGGGAGGCGGAAAUGGAUGGCGACGAAUCGACGCCGCCGCUGUUGCUUGCAACAUUGGGACCCCGAGCGCCAGCGCCCGGGGAUUGCUAUUGCUGUAAAAGCUGGACUAACUAAGACAGAUUUUGAUUCCACCGUCUGAAUUCACCCAACAUCUGCAGAGGAGCUUGUCACAAUGAGGAGCCCAACUCGGAAAAUCCGGAAGGAUCCAUCCCCAGCAAUGGAAAAGAAUGUUGAUGAGAUCAGGCCAGAUAGGAAUAAGUAACUUCUCCGAAUGAGGUAAAUCAUUGAAAUAUACUCUUUUACUGCCUGCAAGAAAUUUUAGUAACAUGCAGAUUCUUUGAUAUUUUUUAUGUGCCUUAGCUUUGUAAUUAUCUUGAUCAUGCUAAAUUACUAUCAGGUUUCCUUGUCAAAAACUUAUUGCUUUCAUAACAUUGUGUUCAUAAGUUUCUUGGAUGCAUAAUCACUCUUUCUUUACUUGUUUGUGAAAUUAUUACUUUGAGGUUCCACAGGGAUGUGGUAUUUGUUGGUUCCUGUCUCCAUGUGUUGGAUAGACUAUGCUUCACGCGAGUGUGGUGGUUAACGAAACACUAUGGGGAGUACACGAAAAGAGUUUCAGAUUUAAUAAUUGUCAAAAAAAAAAAAGGUUUAUCAUAUGUGGGCUGAAUAUAAAUAGUAUAGGCACUUCUUAUUUACGUCUAAUGUAGCAGUUUGAACGGACAAAAAGUUUCCGUGAAGCUGCCGGAGCUACCUAUCAUUGUUGACUGAAAAAUUAGGAGCCUUUUGAUUUGAGAUAGGAAUUUGAAUGAUGCAUGGACAAGCCAGUGACCGAACUUGCAUGUAACAAUUUGCCUAAGGAAAAGCUAAUGGUUAGUUGUUGAAAGCUGUAGAGAACAUAAGCAGAUUAGUUGAAUAGUUGAAUUCUGAACUCCAAAACAACAAGGAUGCUUAUGUCCAGUCAUGAUUCUGGAAGCUAUGGGGAGUGAAAAGUUUUGCAUUAUUCUGAAGGGGGUGAAAUUGAAUAGAAAAGUCAUAUUUGAUUAUACGUUUUAAUCUCCAUGCUGUAUAUCUUUAAAAUUAAAAUUUUAAUCAGCUAAUUUGUUAGACUGCUACUUUUCUUGCAUAUCAACAUCCUACUCA